rnacentral:rRNA from 1 species
AGCGUGGAGACAGGUGGUGCAUGGCUGUCGUCAGCUCGUGUCGUGAGAUGUUGGGUUAAGUCCCGCAACGAGCGCAACCCUCACCCCUUGUUGCCAUCAGGUCAUGCUGGGCACUCUAGGGGAACUGCCCCGGUCAACGGGGAGGAAGGCGGGGAUGACGUCAAGUCAUCAUGCCCCUUACGUCCUGGGCUACACACGUGCUACAAUGGCCGGUACAAAGGGAUGCAACACCGCGAGGUAGAGCUAAACCCAAAAAGCCGGUCUAAGUUCAGAUUGGGGUCUGCAACUCGACUCCAUGAAGGAGGAAUCGCUAGUAAUCGCGUAUCAGCACGACGCGGUGAAUACGUUCCCGGGCCUUGUACACACCGCCCGUCACACCACGAAAGCCAGCUGUACUCGAAGUCGCUGAG